GAGGAGGAGGAGGAACAACAGCAGCAGCAGAAGACAUCAACCUUCCACUCCCCAGGGUCCAGAGCUAACGGCACCCCGAGGAACACUAGCAAACAUCCUGCCAUUAAGGUGAUCUCUGCUGGGGGUUCACCAAGACACCUUCUGAGAGCGACCGACAACGAAGGCAACGAUGAGUCACAUAGUACGCCAUUUCCUGAUCAACCUUUCUUCACACCUGCCUACUUCGACCACAGUGUUGAUGGCCAGAGUGAACCGCAGCGGAACCAGCAGCGACCAUCUCCCCUGACGAACACCACCACUGGCAACGAGGAGCACC